rnacentral:rRNA from 1 species
GACGAACGCUGGCGGCGUGCCUAAUACAUGCAAGCCGAGCGGAACCUUUGGAGCUUGCUCCAUUGGUUUAGCGGCGGACGGGUGAGUAACACGUGGGCAACCUGCCCUGCAGAUCGGGAUAACUCCGGGAAACCGGUGCUAAUACCGAAUAGUUUGCGGCCUCUCCUGAGGCUGCACGGAAAGACGGUUUCGGCUGUCACUGCAGGAUGGGCCCGCGGCGCAUUAGCUAGUUGGUGGGGUAAUGGCCCACCAAGGCCACGAUGCGUAGCCGACCUGAGAGGGUGAUCGGCCACACUGGGACUGAGACACGGCCCAGACUCCUACGGGAGGCAGCAGUAGGGAAUCUUCCGCAAUGGACGCAAGUCUGACGGAGCAACGCCGCGUGAGUGACGAAGGUUUUCGGAUCGUAAAACUCUGUUGUGAGGGAAGAACGUACGUGAGAGUAACUGUUCACGUAGUGACGGUAUCCAACCAGAAAGCCACGGCUAACUACGUGCCAGCCGCCGCCGUAACAC